rnacentral:rRNA from 1 species
GGUUAAGCGACUAAGCGUACACGGUGGAUGCCCUGGCAGUCAGAGGCGAUGAAGGACGUGCUAAUCUGCGAUAAGCGUCGGUAAGGUGAUAUGAACCGUUAUAACCGGCGAUUUCCGAAUGGGGAAACCCAGUGUGUUUCGUCACACUAUCAUUAACUGAAUCCAUAGGUUAAUGAGGCGAACCGGGGGAACUGAAACAUCUAAGUACCCCGAGGAAAAGAAAUCAACCGAGAUUCCCCCAGUAGCGGCGAGCGAACGGGGAGGAGCCCAGAGCCUGAAUCAGUGUGUGUGUUAGUGGAAGCGUCUGGAAAGGCGCGCGAUACAGGGUGACAGCCCCGUACACAAAAAUGCACAUGCUGUGAGCUCGAUGAGUAGGGCGGGACACGUGGUAUCCUGUCUGAAUAUGGGGGGACCAUCCUCCAAGGCUAAAUACUCCUGACUGACCGAUAGUGAACCAGUACCGUGAGGGAAAGGCGAAAAGAACCCCGGCGAGGGGAGUGAAAAAGAACCUGAAACCGUGUACGUACAAGCAGUGGGAGCCUCUUUAUGGGGUGACUGCGUACCUUUUGUAUAAUGGGUCAGCGACUUAUAUUCUGUAGCAAGGUUAACCGAAUAGGGGAGCCGAAGGGAAACCGAGUCUUAACUGGGCGUUAAGUUGCAGGGUAUAGACCCGAAACCCGGUGAUCUAGCCAUGGGCAGGUUGAAGGUUGGGUAACACUAACUGGAGGACCGAACCGACUAAUGUUGAAAAAUUAGCGGAUGACUUGUGGCUGGGGGUGAAAGGCCAAUCAAACCGGGAGAUAGCUGGUUCUCCCCGAAAGCUAUUUAGGUAGCGCCUCGUGAACUCAUCUCCGGGGGUAGAGCACUGUUUCGGCAAGGGGGUCAUCCCGACUUACCAACCCGAUGCAAACUGCGAAUACCGGAGAAUGUUAUCACGGGAGACACACGGCGGGUGCUAACGUCCGUCGUGAAGAGGGAAACAACCCAGACCGCCAGCUAAGGUCCCAAAGUCAUGGUUAAGUGGGAAACGAUGUGGGAAGGCCCAGACAGCCAGGAUGUUGGCUUAGAAGCAGCCAUCAUUUAAAGAAAGCGUAAUAGCUCACUGGUCGAGUCGGCCUGCGCGGAAGAUGUAACGGGGCUAAACCAUGCACCGAAGCUGCGGCAGCGACGCUUAUGCGUUGUUGGGUAGGGGAGCGUUCUGUAAGCCUGUGAAGGUGUGCUGUGAGGCAUGCUGGAGGUAUCAGAAGUGCGAAUGCUGACAUAAGUAACGAUAAAGCGGGUGAAAAGCCCGCUCGCCGGAAGACCAAGGGUUCCUGUCCAACGUUAAUCGGGGCAGGGUGAGUCGACCCCUAAGGCGAGGCCGAAAGGCGUAGUCGAUGGGAAACAGGUUAAUAUUCCUGUACUUGGUGUUACUGCGAAGGGGGGACGGAGAAGGCUAUGUUGGCCGGGCGACGGUUGUCCCGGUUUAAGCGUGUAGGCUGGUUUUCCAGGCAAAUCCGGAAAAUCAAGGCUGAGGCGUGAUGACGAGGCACUACGGUGCUGAAGCAACAAAUGCCCUGCUUCCAGGAAAAGCCUCUAAGCAUCAGGUAACAUCAAAUCGUACCCCAAACCGACACAGGUGGUCAGGUAGAGAAUACCAAGGCGCUUGAGAGAACUCGGGUGAAGGAACUAGGCAAAAUGGUGCCGUAACUUCGGGAGAAGGCACGCUGAUAUGUAGGUGAAGCGACUUGCUCGUGGAGCUGAAAUCAGUCGAAGAUACCAGCUGGCUGCAACUGUUUAUUAAAAACACAGCACUGUGCAAACACGAAAGUGGACGUAUACGGUGUGACGCCUGCCCGGUGCCGGAAGGUUAAUUGAUGGGGUCAGCGCAAGCGAAGCUCUUGAUCGAAGCCCCGGUAAACGGCGGCCGUAACUAUAACGGUCCUAAGGUAGCGAAAUUCCUUGUCGGGUAAGUUCCGACCUGCACGAAUGGCGUAAUGAUGGCCAGGCUGUCUCCACCCGAGACUCAGUGAAAUUGAACUCGCUGUGAAGAUGCAGUGUACCCGCGGCAAGACGGAAAGACCCCGUGAACCUUUACUAUAGCUUGACACUGAACAUUGAGCCUUGAUGUGUAGGAUAGGUGGGAGGCUUUGAAGUGUGGACGCCAGUCUGCAUGGAGCCGACCUUGAAAUACCACCCUUUAAUGUUUGAUGUUCUAACGUUGACCCGUAAUCCGGGUUGCGGACAGUGUCUGGUGGGUAGUUUGACUGGGGCGGUCUCCUCCUAAAGAGUAACGGAGGAGCACGAAGGUUGGCUAAUCCUGGUCGGACAUCAGGAGGUUAGUGCAAUGGCAUAAGCCAGCUUGACUGCGAGCGUGACGGCGCGAGCAGGUGCGAAAGCAGGUCAUAGUGAUCCGGUGGUUCUGAAUGGAAGGGCCAUCGCUCAACGGAUAAAAGGUACUCCGGGGAUAACAGGCUGAUACCGCCCAAGAGUUCAUAUCGACGGCGGUGUUUGGCACCUCGAUGUCGGCUCAUCACAUCCUGGGGCUGAAGUAGGUCCCAAGGGUAUGGCUGUUCGCCAUUUAAAGUGGUACGCGAGCUGGGUUUAGAACGUCGUGAGACAGUUCGGUCCCUAUCUGCCGUGGGCGCUGGAGAACUGAGGGGGGCUGCUCCUAGUACGAGAGGACCGGAGUGGACGCAUCACUGGUGUUCGGGUUGUCAUGCCAAUGGCACUGCCCGGUAGCUAAAUGCGGAAGAGAUAAGUGCUGAAAGCAUCUAAGCACGAAACUUGCCCCGAGAUGAGUUCUCCCUGACUCCUUGAGAGUCCUGAAGGAACGUUGAAGACGACGACGUUGAUAGGCCGGGUGUGUAAGCGCAGCGAUGCGUUGAGCUAACCGGUACUAAUGAACCGUGAGGCUUAACCUU